AUCGCUUCUCGGCCUUUUGGCUAAGAUCAAAGUGUAGUAUCUGUUAUGGAUCUACAUAAAUCUUGGUCAUUUGGUCGGCUAGCCCAGGGGUCGGCAACCUUUUGAAGCGGAAGAACCAAAAGUUACGAUUUUCAAAAUUUCCCUGGUUUUAAAGAGCCACUAAAUUUUUUUUAAUUUCAAAUAUUUUAUUUUUU